rnacentral:snRNA from 1 species
UUACUUUCUGGACAGGGAAGAUACGAUAAUUAAGAAAGUUAUUUUCCCAAGGAGAGGCUUGUCCAUCGCACUUCGAACUUCUUAUCCCUUCAGUUUUCUCAAAUGUGGGAAACUCGGCUACAUAAUAUGUGGUACCGGGGGACUGCUUUUCCUUU